GUUUUCCGAUACGGAAAACUAAACUUCUGUCUAGAUUCUAGAUGAUUGCUAAAUUCAACACCAUUUCUACGGAUAUUUCUGCCAAUAGAUGGCGUUUUCAACACUAAACCGAUUUGAUUGCGUUUUAUUCAUAAACUGCAAUACUAACGGGAAAACUGAUAUUGUAUCGGAAAUCAGCGUUCAAUUUUGAUUAUAAUCCAUGAGUUUCAUAGAAUUCCCGGAGGUAACAUUUUUUGCCGAUUUUGACAAAAGUGGUAAGGGUAUAGCCUUCCCACUUUACCAUUUUUGGCUAAAAUCUAGAUAUACUUAAAAACACAUGAUUUUGAUUCAGAAUUUAGCGAUGAUCACGAAAAUCGACUUUGUUUUCAUGUGCAACUAAUAGUUUUUGGGUUAUUCGAAGAAAUCAAACUGUCUCCAGUCGGCCGACUGAUCACUCAUGUCAUCAGUUACCAAACAGACAGUCGCGUGUAUGGUUCUGCCGACUGCAAGCUGAAACAGAUUUCCGUGCAUAGCUUCGAAUUAGAUUUCUUUUCUAGAGGGAAAAUUCUAAACGCCUGCUGAUGAUUUGAUGAUCUCUUGUAUGCAGACACGACACACAUUAAUAUUUCUGGCAUUGCAUUAUCUGUAAAAGUUUUGAUUGGAUAUUGCAUUUCACCCAGCUGUGCACCAGAAAGAUUUUGGGUAGGUAAGUAAAGAUUCUCGAGUGAAAGUCAGUGCCUCAAAAGGCCUCGAAGAGCAUGUUAGAACCAGUCAUUCCGAAAGUUAAAAACCUUAUUUAUUUUGUUUUUCUUUUAAAUUUUUAUUAGUUACAGCAGGUCCAUCAUUUGAAAAUUAAAUUUUUACAAUUUCAUUGACACAAACCUAUAGAAUUACUAAAACAUGUUAAAUGUGUUAAGUAAUUACUUUCUUUUACAAAAUGGCUACUGGUAUGGGAACUAUUGUUAAAGGGAUCAAAGUUUGAUGGAUUAAUUUCUGGGUGAUGGUGACAUGUGGUAGAAGAUGAGAGCAUUAUGAAUGUUGCAUAGUUUACUUAUUCUGUUUGUACCUUUCAGGUAUUUUAUUGAACCCCAUUGUUCACUUUGUAGAAAAAAUAAGUAUGUUGGGUGGAAUAAAUGAGAUACCAACAAUUUCGGGGAUCCUUGUCUUCCAAGAAAUGUUAAUAAUUUAAGUUCCCUAAAAGUUUACGAACAGAAAGAUUAUAGAAUUUUGUCAGUUUAUUUGAAUAUUUAAUAUUUUUAAAGUGGAAAUAUCAUGGAAUUACAAGAACAUUUGAAGACAAGAUUUUGCAUCGGUACCUGAACCAGUAUGUUGUUACUUGGUUAAUUGUUCUUUGUUCUGUUGUAUCAACUUUCCCCUGGGCAGGAACUAACAGCUCAAAAGUUGCAGACCAUGGAAUGCUGACCAGUUAUCUGCAGGGUGGAAAUGUGCUUGACAGAGCCUAAAUUGGCCAAAUAUUCUGAGCAACUAUCAUGAAAACCACAUUUUCUCUCAGUAGAAAUUACAUGCCUCAAUAUCUGUUUGGUCUAUGCAUAACGUCUCUUGUGUGAAAGAAGCUGCAUCGCCAAUGUGUCUGACACUAGAUCAUUCUAAACAUAAAAUCUAACAAUUCAUAAGUCAUUAUGUAGGUUUGAAAGUUUGUUAAGUUAUUUAUACAGACUUAUAAUGUGUGGGAGAAUUUUUUUACAGGUUAAACGUGAUUAAGUUCCCCAUGUAAUUCUUUCAAGUUCUAUCAUCUUGGAAUAAUUUGCAUAAAACCGUUUGAAAGGUG